rnacentral:rRNA from 1 species
GAUGAACGCUGGCGGCGUGCCUAAUACAUGCAAGUCGAGCGAACGGACGAGAAGCUUGCUUCUCUGAUGUUAGCGGCGGACGGGUGAGUAACACGUGGAUAACCUACCUAUAAGACUGGGAUAACUUCGGGAAACCGGAGCUAAUACCGGAUAAUAUUUUGAACCGCAUGGUUCAAAAGUGAAAGACGGUCUUGCUGUCACUUAUAGAUGGGUCCGCGCUGCAUUAGCUAGUUGGUAAGGUAACGGCUUACCAAGGCAACGAUGCAUAGCCGACCUGAGAGGGUGAUCGGCCACACUGGAACUGAGACACGGUCCAGACUCCUACGGGAGGCAGCAGUAGGGAAUCUUCCGCAAUGGGCGAAAGCCUGACGGAGCAACGCCGCGUGAGUGAUGAAGGUCUUCGGAUCGUAAAACUCUGUUAUUAGGGAAGAACAUAUGUGUAAGUAACUGUGCACACCUUGACGGUACCUAAUCAGAAAGCCACGGCUAACUACGUG